UACGUAGGUGGCAAGCGUUAUCCGGAUUUAUUGGGUUUAAAGGGUGCGUAGGUUGUUUUUUAAGUCAGCGGUGAAAGUUUGUGGCUCAACCAUAAAAUUGCCGUUGAAACUGGAAGACUUGAGUGUGUUUGAGGUAGGCGGAAUGCGUGGUGUAGCGGUGAAAUGCGUAGAGAUCGGGAGGAACACCAGUGGCGAAGGCGGCCUACUGGGCUUUAACUGACGCUGAGGCACGAAAGCGUGGGUAGCAAACAGG
rnacentral:rRNA from 1 species